UACGUAGGGUCCGAGCGUUGUCCGGAAUUAUUGGGCGUAAAGGGGCUCGUAGGCGGUUUGUCACGUCGGGAGUGAAAACUCAGGGCUUAACCCUGAGCGUGCUUCCGAUACGGGCUGACUAGAGGGAUGCAGGGGGAGAACGGAAUUCCUGGUGUAGCGGUGGAAUGCGCAGAUAUCAGGAGGAACACCGGUGGCGAAGGCGGUUCUCUGGGCAUUUCCUGACGCUGAGGAGCGAAAGCAUGGGGAGCGAACAGG
rnacentral:rRNA from 1 species